GCGGGUGUAGCUCAAUUGGAUAGAGCACCUGACUACGGAUCAGGAGGUUUGGGGUUCGAAUCCCUACACCCGUG
rnacentral:tRNA from 1 species